AAUUCUGAGUAAUUGCGGUCGUCUUUAAGGCGGCUGAGGAAAGUCCAUUCUCGCACAGGCUGCGAUGCCUGUAGUGUUCGUGCUCGGUGAAAAAAUAAGCCGGGGGACUCUGAAUAAGAGUUACGGCGGAUUCCAAGCUAAGGCCAAUGGCUAUGCGGCAGAAUCCCUAAGGUGCCACAGUGACGAAUGUCGGAAGAAAUUUCGGCAGUGGAACGCGGUAAACCCCUCGAGCGGGAAACCCAAACUUUUGGUAGGGGAGCUUCACACACGGUAAAUGAACCAAGUGUGGGGGAGAAAUAUUUUAUUUCUCAGAUAGAUGAUUACUACUUACUGGUUUGUUCCUGGAAAUCAGUGAGCACAAAACAUGGCUUAUAGGA
rnacentral:RNase_P_RNA from 2 species